rnacentral:rRNA from 1 species
UACAGAGGGUGCAAGCGUUGUUCGGAAUUAUUGGGCGUAAAGCGCGUGUAGGCGGCUUUGCAAGUCGGGUGUGAAAGCCCUCAGCUUAACUGAGGAAGUGCGCCCGAAACUGCAGAGCUUGAGUACCGGAGAGAAUGGUGGAAUUCCCGAAGUAGAGGUGAAAUUCGUAGAUAUCGGGAGGAACACCGGUGGCGAAGGCGACCAUCUGGACGGAUACUGACGCUGAGACGCGAAAGCGUGGGUAGCAAACAGG